AGCCCAUGAUGAGGACACUGUCGAAGUAAUUCUUUGUAUCUUUCCUAAGCUUCAUAUAAUGAUUCAGAAUCUUGUUGCAUGAAUGAUGUGAGAUCAUUCCUCAUUUU
rnacentral:snoRNA from 1 species